ensembl:lncRNA
UGGUCUCAUGAAUGGAGAAGAGCAAAGUGCAAUCUAAAGUCCCCUCCCAGCUACCUUGUGUCUUUGCGCUAUGCUUCUGUUCCUAUUGGUUGGAGUGCAUAGACGGGAAGCAACUGAGUGGUCUGACUGACGCUUCUAGGGCUUCAGUAUUUCAGAGCAGGCUUAAGAGAAGAGAGAUGUUCAGUGUGUGCUAAUAAACUGAUAUUUUCUGUUGGUGAUUAAGCCAGGAAAGAAGGGAAGAAAAACACUGUUUUGUAUAUAGGAACCAACUAAGAGAUCUCUGGAGUUCCAUAUUUCACAUCUGACAUUAUGAUUAAAUUAUUCACUGUCACUUUGGCUGCUAUAGGAUAUGAAAAAUUUGCGUGGAAAGGUGUAAUAGAACUGCUUAGAACUGGAAUGUUCAUAAUUGGAAUUUACUAUUGCAGGAAAAUAGACAAUAAACUGGGUGACCUUCAGAAAAAAAUUGGUAAAUUUUUCUUACCACUGAUAUUCCAAGCCCUCACUAAACUAUCCUUUCUCAACAGUUUGAAUAUUUCCUGUCCUUUUAACCUUAAACUAUUUCUGCACGGAC